CUUAUGCUUCAGCAAAAUAUAGGCAGAUAAACAAAGCUAAAAAUUACUAAUGAUGAUGUUUGAGGAAAUUGAUGUGGAAGUGGCUGAGCCAGAUGAUGAGGAUAUUGAUUUAGAUGAGUUGGAGAGGAGAUUGUGGAGGGACAAGAUGAAGCUCAAAAGGCUCAAAGAAAAAAUGAAUCAAGACAAGGAAGAUGUUGAUUCUGCAAAGAGGUGGGGGAAGAAGUCAAGGAGAGAUAAGAUAUGGAGGGCACACGAUGGGUUUAGAUCGGACCGAAUCGAUUGAUGUGCACCCUUAGUAUAUCAAAAGAAAAUAUUUUUCAUCAAAUUUGAUGGUAAACAAAAGUGAUACGUGUAAUGUGUGUUGCAUCUCUAUUUUAUGAAUGAACAUUGCGUGUCGUAUUUAUAUAUGA